rnacentral:rRNA from 1 species
GAUGAACGCUGGCGGCGUGCCUAAUACAUGCAAGUCGAGCGAACAGAUAAGGAGCUUGCUCCUUUGACGUUAGCGGCGGACGGGUGAGUAACACGUGGAUAACCUACCUAUAAGACUGGGAUAACUUCGGGAAACCGGAGCUAAUACCGGAUAACAUAUUGAACCACAUGGUUCAAUAGUGAAAGGCGGCUUUGCUGUCACUUAUAGAUGGAUCCGCGCCGUAUUGGCUAGUGGGUAAGGUAACGGCUUAACAAGGCAACGAUACGUAGCCGACCUGAGAGGGUGAGCGGCCAAACUGGAACUGAGACACGGUCCAGACUCCUACGGGAGGCAGCAGUAGGGAAUCUUCCGCAAUGGGCGAAAGCCUGACGGAGCAACGCCGCGUGAGUGAUGAAGGUCUUCGGAUCGUAAAACUCUGUUAUCAGGGAAGAACAAAUGUGUAAGUAACUGUGCACAUCUUGACGGUACCUGAUCAGAAAGCCACGGCUAACUACGUGCCAGCCGCCGCUGUAAAAC